rnacentral:rRNA from 1 species
UGAGCAAUCUGCCCUUCUCUUUGGAAUAAGCGUGGGAAACCGCGUCUAAUGCCGAAUACGACCUCCUUUCGCAUGAUCGGAGGUGGAAAGCUCCGGCGGAGAAGGAUGAGCUCGCGGCCUAUCAGCUAGUUGGUGUGGGUAAUGGCCCACCAAGGCGACGACGGGUAGCCGGCCUGGAGAGGGUGACCGGCCACACUGGGACUGAGACACGGCCCAGACCUCCGUACGGGGAGGNAGCG